UACAGAGGCCUCGAGCGUUGUUCGGAAUUACUGGGCGUAAAGCGAAUGUAGGUGGUGACGUAAGUCAGAUGUGAAAGCCCGGGGCUUAACCCCGGAAAUGCAUUUGAUACUGCGUUGCUCGAGUGUGAGAGAGGAAAGGGGAAUUCCCAGUGUAGGAGUGAAAUCCGUAGAUAUUGGGAGGAAUACCGAUGGCGAAGGCACCUUUCUGGCUCAUUACUGACACUGAGAUUCAAAAGCGUGGGGAGCAAAC
rnacentral:rRNA from 1 species